rnacentral:rRNA from 1 species
UACGUAGGGUGCGAGCGUUAUCCGGAUUCACUGGGUUUAAAGGGUGCGUAGGCGGGUAGGUAAGUCCGUGGUGAAAUCUCUGAGCUUAACUCAGAAACUGCCGUGGAUACUAUUUGCCUUGAAUAUUGUGGAGGUGAGCGGAAUAUGUCAUGUAGCGGUGAAAUGCUUAGAUAUGACAUAGAACACCAAUUGCGAAGGCAGCUCACUACACAAUGAUUGACGCUGAGGCACGAAAGCGUGGGGAUCAAACAGG